GUCAUCAUCUUCCUCCACUAAAUCAAGCCAAAAUAGCCUUUUGCAUUGAUGACCACGAACAAAUGGUUCUUCACAAUUGAAGCAGAGUCCCCUUUGUCUUCGUUCUUCCAUCUCAGCCCGUGUUAGCCUUUUCACCGUUCUAGCAGGUAAUAAAUUUGAUAUUGAUGGUGCACUAGUUCUCUUAUUUUCAUGAGAACCAUAUUGUUUCAAAGCUGCCUGCUUUCGUUCAUACAAUCGGGACAUGCUCAUUGUCGUUGCCAAAUCUGUAGGAUGAUGCAGUUCUACCUCUACAGCUAUGUAUUCUUGCAGCCCGCUAAUAUAGAGUUGAACCUUUUGCAUUCGUGUGAGACUUCCUGCCCUUGCAACUAGGAUUUCAAAUUGAUUCUGGUAAUCUACCAUAGAACCAGUUUGUUUCAAUUUGGCUAACUCUCCCAGCUUGUUGGAUCGAAUCGAAGGUCCAAAUCUGAUGUUGCAUUGCUCUUUGAACUCUGUCCAUGAUGGGUCAGGAACAUCAUCAAGAAAUUGCAUGUACCAAGGCUGCGCCACUCCUAC
rnacentral:lncRNA from 1 species